UGGGGAAUCUUGGACAAUGGGCGCAAGCCUGAUCCAGCCAUGCCGCGUGAGUGAUGAAGGCCUUAGGGUUGUAAAGCUCUUUUGCCGGGGACGAUAAUGACGGUACCCGGAGAAUAAGUCCCGGCUAACUUCGUGCCAGCAGCCGCGGUAAUACGAAGGGGACUAGCGUUGUUCGGAAUCACUGGGCGUAAAGCGCACGUAGGCGGAUUUGUAAGUCAGGGGUGAAAUCCCGGGGCUCAACCUCGGAACUGCCCUUUGAUACUGCGGAUCUCGAGUCCGAUAGAGGUGAGUGGAAUUCCUAGUGUAGAGGUGAAAUUCGUAGAUAUUAGGAAGAACACCGGUGGCGAAGGCGGCUCACUGGAUCGGUACUGACGCUGAGGUGCGAAAGCGUGGGGAGCAAACAGGAUUAGAUACCCCCGUAGUCCCUGAGCGGGCUGGCAAGGCGCAU
rnacentral:rRNA from 1 species